GCAUGUCCCGGUGCCUGGGUUUUGUGGUUUGUGGCACAGGCACGUUGCACGUACGAGGAGAUGAGCGCUAGGCAAGCCGAGGAGGAGCCUGCUGCGGCCCAUCCGCCGCUGCCCAGGCUGCUUUCCGCCUUCUUCUAUGGAACCUGCUCUUUCCUCAUCGUCCUGGUGAACAAGACCGUGCUGACCACUUACCGAUUCCCAUCUGCAAUGGUUCUUGGAAUUGGACAGAUGGCAACAACCAUACUUAUUCUGUAUGUGUCAAAAUUAAAUAAGAUUAUUCAUUUCCCUGAUUUUGACAAAAGUAUCCCUGUGAAGUUGUUUCCUCUGCCUCUGCUUUAUGUUGGAAAUCACAUAAGCGGAUUAACAAGCACCAGCAAACUAAGUUUGCCGAUGUUUACAGUGCUCAGGAAGUUUACCAUUCCACUUACAUUACUGCUGGAAAUCAUCAUACUUGGGAAACGAUAUUCACUGGGUAUUAUAGUCAGCGUAUUUACCAUCAUUCUUGGGGCUUUCAUAGCCGCUGGAUCAGAUCUCUCUUUUAAUUUGGAAGGCUACACCUUUGUGUUACUAAAUGAUAUCUUCACAGCAGCAAAUGGAGUAUACACUAAACAGAAAAUGGAUCCAAAGGAGCUGGGAAAAUAUGGAAUCCUUUUCUAUAAUGCUUAUUUUAUGGUGAUACCCACAAUGAUUAUUAGCUUCUCCACUGGAGACCUUCAGCAGGUCAUAGAUUUCAAGCACUGGACAAAUUCUUUUUUUCUCUUUCAGUUUCUUCUCUCCUGCUUCAUGGGGUUUCUCUUAAUGUAUUCUACAGUCUUAUGCAGCCAUUACAAUUCUGCACUUACGACAUCAGUGGUUGGUGCAAUCAAAAAUAUAUCCAUUGCUUAUAUUGGAAUGUUGGUUGGUGGAGACUACAUAUUCUCUAUAUUAAACUUUAUAGGGCUAAAUAUUUGCAUGGCAGGAGGACUGAGAUAUUCAUUUUUAACAUUACGAGACCACAACAAGUCUAAGCAGCCUACAGAUGUAGAAAACACAUCUUGAUUCAAAGAGCUAGCAAAAAUGAAUAAUGUGAAAUGCAGUGAAGAUGCAAGCUCACUAAACAGCACUACCAUGAAGUUAAUCAAGCACGUGCAGCACGAAUGUAUCUGAAAUGAGAAAACUCUACCUCAGUUGCCAUUGCGCACACACGUCUUAUAGACUCAAAAGUGUUCUUACACACAGUGUCGCAACUUAUUUUUGUUUUAUUCUUUACACCAAGACUGACUUAUAAUAUGGGAACGUCUAUCCAAAGUAAUUGUCUAGUUGUAACUGUCUUUAUUCUUCUUGCCAUUGACAAUAUUUGUACUCAGCCAAUUCUUAAAUUUCUUACUCAGUUUUCGUCAAUCUUUGUGAGGCAAAACUCCCAGUAAAGACAAUGGGGGCUUGAUUCAUUUCUAUUCUGUACCUUGCAGACUUGUUUACAUCUACAAAGAGGGUGUACAGUGCUACCAAAUCAAAAUGGUUUUACACCCACUUUGCACUAGUGUAAAUGACUGCACAACUGGAUCCUGGCUCACUACAAAAGCAGUUUUCCCUCUCUUGAUAUUGACACCUCCUCUUCAGUUAUUGGGAAUGAACCACAUCCAAUCUGACUGAAUUGGCCCUGUCAACAUUGGUUCUCCACUUGUAAGGUAACUCCCUUCUCUUCAUGUGCCAAUAUAUUUAUGCCUGUGUCUGUAAUUGUCGUUCCAUGCAUCUGACGAAGUGGGGGUUUUUACUCAUGAAAGCUUAUGUCCAAAUAAAUCUGUUAAUCUUUAAGGUGCCACCAGACUCCUCAUUGUUUUUGUGGAUACAGACUAAUAUAGCUACCCUCUGAUACUUGGAUCCAAGGUGUUUGUCCUGGAUAAGGAGUGAUUGAAAAUUGAAUGAGGAACUCAGGGUACACCCCAAUAUGUUUUGAAUAAGGAGUCCUCUCUUAUCCUACCAAAUCUCUGCUUAAUUCUUCCAAAGAAGCUAUCAUCCUCUGUGGUAUCACAGUCUGUUGCCACAAUCAUGGUUGUUUUUUCAUCAAUGGAUUAUUCUGACUUUCUGCUGGAUCAAAUGAAAGGAAGAGAUGGGCAGCGAGAGAAAUAUUUAUUGUUUAAAGAGAAAUAACUUGGCUGAUUAGCCAGUACUGCAUCGAAAAAUACGAGAGAGACCAGAAAGAUACACAUGAACCAAGUUAUGAUUUUCUGUUGAAGUCAUGAGAAGUGUUGAAGUUUCACAAGGUUUUGACAUGGAACCGGGUAGGUCUGGAUAGUAUUGAUUGUCUGAGUUUCAGUUUGAGAUUUGAGGUUCAAACUCAGCAAAACUUGGGGAGUACAAACCCAUGUGGACCAUAGGAAGUGGUAUUUUGGGUCAGCAGCAAUGCCUAUCUAGUCCAGUAUCCUCUCUGACAGUGGCCAGUACCAAAUGUUUCAAAGGAAGUUGUCAGAAUCCCACAGUCUAAAAAUGUAGGAUAUCUCCCAGUCUCACCCUGAUCUCUAAUAGAUAGAGUCUGGCUUAAGCACUGAAGCACAAGGUUCCUACAUUUUGUUUUCAUUAAUUAUAACUCUGAAUAUUCUUGAUAGCCAUAUAAGUAUCCACUCUCUUUUUGAAUCUUAAGUUCUUGGCUGCAAUGACUUCCUGCGGCAAAAAGUUCCACAGCUUAAUUAGGUGUGUGAAAAAAGUAUUUCCUUUUAUUAGUUUGAAUUUCUCACCUUUUUAGUUUCAUUCACUGUCCCCUUGUUCUCAUGUUGUGUUGUGAGAGAGGGAGAACAGAAGCCCCCGAUUUACCUUCUCUAUACAACUCGCUCAUUUACACAGUAUAAUUCCAGUUAUCCAAAUACUCUUUUUCCAAAAAUUCUAGUUUAUCCGAAUCCACGCAUUCUCUCCCGGCCCCCAUGUAGCCCUAUGUUAGUGAAUCACACACUGAUAAAUUCUCGAUUAGCCUCUUAACAACCAUUAGCACUACUCAACCUCUUUAUAUUUGUAUAGUGGUUCUUAUUGGUUACUGCAGCUAGUGAGAUCUAAUCUUGUUUGCGCAGCUUGGCAGGACAAUGUAAAAAAAAAAAAAAGAUCUGUUUGGAUCUCAAGCAGCAACUACAGAUUCUUGAGGUCCUAGGCCUGGCCUUCACCUAAAACUUAAGUCAACCUUGCUAUGUUGCCCAGGGCUGUGAAAAUUUUCACGCCUUCAGCACCGUAGUUAGGACAACCUACCCCCCAGUGUGGAUGUUGCUAGGUCAACAGAAAGAUUCUUCCAUCCAUCUACCUACUGCCUCUCGGAGGGGUACAUAACUACACAGAUGGAAAGGAUCCCUUCUGCUGAUGUUGGAAGCAUCCACACUAUGGCACUACAGUGGCACAGCUGCAGCACUGUGGCUGUAGUGUAGAUAUACCCCUAGAAAUAUCAGCAUUACUCCCUGUGUUCCCUGUAUUUCUAUAUCUGUGAAACUGCAGCUCAGAAUAGCAUUUCUGUUUCUCCAAAUGCCCGGUUAUCUGAAAGUUUUGGCUGUACCCCAGGCCAUUCAGAUAAAUGAGAGGGUAUCAUAUGCUUCAUGGCCCCAUUUCUUCAUUUCCUUUCUGAGGUCUGUGUGGAUCAAACCAAAAAUAGUGUUUGUAUGAAGCUUUGUAAUGUGAAACCAUCGCAUUUUGAACAGUUCAAAGAAUGGCCUAAGAGCUGUCUACACAGCUAAGUCAAUACGUUUCCCUAUAUUGGUAUUAUUAUAUUGGCACAGCUAUCCCAGUAAAUUUCCAUGUGCAGACAAGCCCUAAUCCAGAAACCAAUAUGUGACCUUUACAUCUCCAUUCUGUCAACUAUUAAAGAAAAGCAGAACAGGUAUUGAAAUGCUGUUUUAUCAUUGUGAUGUUCAGACAACACUCUGGUAUUUUGUUAGUAUUAGAGAGCCACGUAUUAUGGAUGUGGAUUUCAAACAUCCUGAAGUUUGGGGAGCGUUUGUUUCCAUGGUUAUGUUUCAGCUUAGAAAAAUGGAGGCCAUUUGCAAAAACCAGAGCCAGGUUUGGAUUUCAAACCUCAGAGGUUGGGGGUGUUGGAUGAAGCAUUUGGACUCUGGUCCAUCUCUAGUCAGUGUGUUUACUAACUUAAUUUAAAAUAUAAACCAAGCUGCUUGAUUAUUGAAAUCUUUUUUGCAGGGUAUUUAACUUGCUCAUGAAUAGUUUUUUAGCAUGAAACUGAAAAUUACCUCAAAUUGUCACAAGUACUGUAUAACCAUUUUCUGCCAGCCCUACAUCUAGGGCCAGACUGGAGAACAAAGAACCUCUCCCUGCUCAAGAGUCUAACACAAGAGUCAUCCUUGUGUUCCCAGGAUCUGUACUGUCGCAAAGGCAAGCUUCUCCAAAGUGAUGAGAGCAGAGACACUGCACCUUCCCCAAAAGUGGCACAGUUGGUCUCUUUCUAGCUCUGGAAGGUAUUUUGCCUGCUAGAGAUACAUCUUCAUCACUCCUGCUGAGUGAUGCAACCUUGCAUUUCCACUGUCUGGAGUUGGGGCUGCAUGCUGUGAUCAAGCCUAUAUUGUAACUCUACCUUUCAUAUCCCAAUCCAGAAAGCAGUUAUGGCUAGAUUGUUUUCUGGCUGAACUAAUUUUCUUUAGGGCUUAUGUAUCUGGUAGGUUUCUGUGCAGUAAACUAGGGUGUGGGCCCACAGUUGGGAGAGGGAUAGCUCAGUGGUUUGAGCAUUGGCCUGCUAAACCCAGGGUUGUGAGUUCAAUCCUUGAGGGGGCCCCUAAGGAAUCUGGGGCAAAGUCAGUACUUGAUCCUGCUAGUGAAGGCAGGGGGCUGGACUCCAUGACCUUUCAGGAUCCCUUCCAGUUCUAUGAGAUAGGUAUAUCUCCUUCAUAUUAUUAAAGUUGAUUGCACAGUAAUGUCACACAUGGACACUCCUACAGUGCACAGAGCUUAUGUCUAAGCUGCAAUUAAAAACCCAUGGCUGGCCCAUGCCAGCUGACUUGGGCUUGGGCUAAGGGGCUAUUUAACUGUAGUGUGGAUGUUCAGGCUCAUGCUGGAGCCUGUGCUCUAGGCCCCGUGUUAAGAGGAUCCUAGAGCUCAGGCUGCAGCCCAAACCUGAAUGUCUACUUCACAAUUAAACAGCCCCUUAGCCUGAGCCCCGUGAGCCCAGAGC